rnacentral:sRNA from 1 species
UACCAUUACAAAUUUUUGCAGGGUGGU